UACGGUUACAUCACGUUGAAACAUAGGAUCUCGUACGGUCACCGAGGUUAAGCAACGUCGCUUUAGGUCAGUACUUUGAUGGGUGACAGCUUGGAAAUAACAAGUGCUGUAAG